rnacentral:lncRNA from 1 species
UGUCAUAAAAACUCAGAAUCAAUGACUCAGCCCCAUCCUGUUGAAAUGGCCAGAAACAUCUAAACAUUUCUCAGUCUGUAAGCUUCGUUACAAAGCCAAUAAAUGCUCAGUGAUCAAUUGGCAAAAACUCGGAUUUUGGCAGUCACACUGGGUAGAACAGAAAACCAAAUAUUGAGCCAAAACAAUAGCUUUGGGUUUUGCAGAGAAAACAUUAUUUUUCAUGAACUAGAUUUUGAAAAUAAUUGAUCAGCAUCUAGGCUGUAGAAGCCAUUGUAGGACAUUUUGAAAAUAAUUGAUCAGCAUCUAGGCUGCAGAAGCCAUUGUAGGAUCUCAGACACUACCAACUCUCUUAAAAGUAAUUGCUGUUAGGAAAGACGCAUACCCUACCCUUAUAGUGCAUUUACCCAAGCGUCCACGGCGAACACAAGGGGAGUUGAUAGACGCAGCCAACUCUUUGAUCUGCCAACAAUCUCCCCCCUUAGCGACACCCCUGGGGUUCAAACCCAUGACCUCAGCUUUGAUACCACUUGCAGAAUCUCAGGCGCUACCAACUCUCUUAAAAGCGAGUUGGUAGUACCUGAGGUCCUACAGCCAUGAAUACUCAUAUGACCUCUAUUCAAUUACCUAGACUAGAAUUUGAAAUCAAGAGAUAACGGUAAAGCAACUACUAGAACGGUUACAAACAAAACCGAGAUCAAUGCAAAGCAACCAUUAAGUCUGAC